UCAUCAAAAACAAACUCAGGAUUAAGGAAGGUGAUGGCCAAUUCAAUUACAAGCAACAAAAGGAAACUCUGUUUCUUCCCUUUCUCUUGGAGCAAUGAAUAUACUUUUAAUGGUCAACUACAGAAUGUAUAAUAUACUAGGUCGAUAUGUUAAUGGUGUUUUUCAGGAGUUUUUGUUUUGUUAAGGCAACGUCAAACUUUUAGUUUUGGUCUGAACCUUUUUGGCUGUUUUUAUCAUCCUCAUUUUCAUUCUCAUCGUCAUAAUCAUCAUCAUCAUCAGUAAUAGUGGCUCAACUAAAGAUUGUGUCUCAAGUAUUCUGAUAAUUCGGUUAACUGGGAGUACAGUGAGGAGUUAACUGGAAGGAGGGAAGAUGAGGUAAGAAGAGGAGGAGAAAGAGGGUUUAAUGGAUGAUGAUGAUUCUUUGAUGGAAAGUGAAUUGUGGAGGUUUCUGUGGUGAUAAGAAGGAAUCAUUGGGCUGUUUCGUUUUAUCAGUUGGAAUAUUAUUAGCAUCAUUUAAAGCCAAGGAAAAGGAAACUUUUAUAUGAAGCAAAACAUUAACAGUUUUACAUUGGCACGCAAUUUACUCAAUUAUGUGGCUCUUUCAUGAUUACAUGUGGCGAUGAAUAUGAGAAUUACGAUUUAAUCAACUUUUCUUUUAAUUUUUCAAUUUUGGUGACUUGAGAAAUGCUUAAACAAGUUUGUCUGUUAAACAUUGACUGGCAGUUGAUUUGUGAUUAAAUGCAUUGUAAACAUCUUGCUGUUGGUGAUUGUCCUAAUUGGAUUUGACUUGAAUUAAUCUUGUCCUCUUAGUACUGUUUAGUUGAUUUAAUUAAGUUAAUUUUU